GAAGAUGGGGCUGUGUCCCCCAAUCCGGGCCUUGGACCAAGCAAGGGGAGAAGGCACUGCUAGGUUACAUUCCCGUCCUGCUUCACCUCCGAGGAACUCACGGUUAGGGGGCGCGAGGAGCACCUCGAGAACAUCUACCACCCUGCACUUAGAGAAGGGUGGGCAGAGUUCGGUUGUUCUAAAGCAGCUGUUUUCAACCUGCGGAUCCCCGAGACCAUCAGAAACACCAGAUACGUAUAUUAUGAUUCAUAACAGUGGCAAGCUUACAGUUGAAGUAGCAACGGAAAUAAUUUUAUGACCGGGGGUCAGCGUAACAUGAAGAAUUAAAGGAUCGCAGCAUUACGAGGGCUGAGAACCACUGCUCUAGAGAUGGUCUCAAGUAGUCCAGAUUGUCUUGGAACUCCUCCUUGUCUUUCCCCCUCCCACGUGCUGGAAUUUUAAACUAAUCAUGCCUUUCCCUGUUUGUGUUCUGUAUUCUAAUAGGUAUUAUUCUAUAGACUUGGAAGUGGACCUUAGCUUUUUUUUUUAAAUCAUACAAAAUGCAUUCUCUUUGUAAAUGAUCCAAGUCAGACAAAAUAUGUAGUUAAUUCUGAUAGUCCAGUUUUGUAUCUAUUUAGUAUAUGCUUGAAAACAAACACGAUCUUUAAUGUGCACGAGAUCAUGGUAAACAUACUUUUUCUUGACUUGCCUUUAUUGCCUCAAUUAAUAAACGGCAGCUGGAUCUCGUGUCAAGAUUGUAAUCUCAGUUCUCAGGAGACUGAGAUAAGGGGAUUUACCAGUUAGAGGCCAGUCCUGGCUACAUAACAAGAGUCUGUAAGAAAAGAAAGGGGGUGGGAGAGAACAUUAUCUAUAGAUCUUCUAUAAGUACAUGUGCAUCUAUCUGAAAGUGACAAUUACUCAUAGGACUGGGAAAUCCCACAUUGCCUGCUGCGAUUGGGGGAGUCAUCGACAACGUUACCAUGCCCUGAGCCCUGUGAACUACAAUGAAGCAGCAAUAGCAUCAUGAAUGUUUUGGGGGUAACCAACUUCUUUCUGGUUGGAUUUGAGGUCUGCUCCACAGGAGGAAACACAUGCUUGUUUGGUACUGUAAAGGUGACCGGAAAUCCAUGGCUGGUAGCUCUCAGUGGUAAACCUACCACGCAGUUUGGGUUCGGGUCCUGGAGGCUUCCCACCAGCAUCUCCCGCCCAGCCAGGUGAGAGGAUUCAGGCCAACGGGAGCUGAGAAGAGGAAUCGGAAAUCGCCUACGCCACCGCCACUGCAGCUGCCUCCACCUCCAAAUCGGCCACUUCAGUUGCUCCAAGACACUGCACCAGUCACUCUGUGCUGAGGGCCAGGCUGAGCCAGCGGAAGGCUGACUAGCCAGUGAGGGGUGCGGGGAGCUUCUGGCAGCGUGUUCAGGGGAUUGGUUCACAAGAAGUCACCUGAGUAUGACUCACUCCUUGUUCCAGGCCCUCCCAGGAGAGCGGAAAUUACCAUCAACAUACAAACAACACCAGGCCCAUCCACAACAACAUGCACAACAUAAAUUGGACUCAGUGUUAUUUUUAAAAAAUAAAUAUGAUUAAGUUGGGUCUAGAGAGAUGGAUGUUUCAGUGGUUAAGAACACUUGAUGUUCUUCCAAGGGAUCCAGGCUUGGUUCCCCAGUACCCAAAUGGUGGCUCACAACCAUCUGUAACUCCA